UGUUCGUUAUUUAGGGCGCAUGGUGGAUGCCUUGGCAUGCUGAGCCGAUGAAGGACGUGUAAGGCUGCGUUAAGCCUCGGGGAGUUGUCAAUAAAGCGUUGAUCCGAGGAUAU
rnacentral:rRNA from 1 species